CCAUACAUUGAGGACAAUUUUGAUCUUUAUUUUCCUCGCCUUUUCCAACUAUUCUAAUCAAAGCUACUACCUGAAAUGGUUCAUUUCUAUGUUUUAUAAACUUUAAGGUGCUCAAGAAAACAAAAAAGUUAUUUAAGGUGUCAAAGUAUGAAAAUCCAUGAAAGCUCCUACACUCUUUGACUCUUUUUUNAUUUUCUCGCAGUUUUAGAGAAUCAAAGAAAAGAGGAAGGAGAAGAUGAUGCGAACGAGGUUGCUAUGGUUCACAAUAGGUCUCACUUCCGUUUCAGCUACAGUGACUCACUUCAUAUUCAAAGAUCUAUGGGCUGAUCGAUUCUCUCUUUCUUCCCAAUUGAAGGAGAAAUGUAGCGUCUUGGAGACUAGGGUUUCCAGUCUUGAAGUGCUUCGUGAUAGUCCCAAUCCUCAGCAGCUCCAAUGAAAAUAAUGGGUCUUGGACCCUCUUUGCAACCAUUGAAGGGGAGCCUUGGAACAACGGUAAAGUUGUCUCCGUCAGUGUUGUCAAAAGCGCGCUUAAAGCGCACUUAAGCCCUAAAGCGAGGCUCAAAAUAUAUUGAGCGCUUUGCCUCGCUUUGCGGGCGCUUCAGUGUCACAUCAAGGCUCUAAGGCAUACUUUUCCUUGCCAAUGAAUAUAAUCCUGAAAAGGCGACACUGGACGAUUGAUAUUUCAUUUUAUCGUAAUUUUUUUUUUAAUUUUUUUGUCCAUAUAUUUGUUAUUCAUGCU